CAAAACCUCUUUUCCCCUCUUUCUCUUCCCGACUUUAUGUCGCGAAAAAUAAUCCCAGACUGACUAAUUCUGGCAGAUUUUUCUGACUGUGUAGAGCUCCAUCCCGUCCGAAAAGUACUGGCUUUUUUUUUUAUCCUAUCUCUGAGAAUUAUUGGCUUGUAAUAACGUCUAAACGCCAAGAUAACCGCUCCAUUUCCGUCUUCUCGAUUUUUUUCCGAUCAGAUCCAUUUUGGGCUAGAUUGGUAACAAUGUCGUUCCAGGCAGAAAAAAGAACAAUAUUUCUGCAAGAGGCCCAUCCAUCUUAGACAGGCUGUCUCUUUGCAAUCCUCGUUUUUUCCCCUCCGAGAGUACAUCCUAUUUCGCAUGUGAAAGACACCUUGUGUAGUUUAACUUUACAAAAAGACCCACACAUGUUAACUGGCUAAGUGGCUGCUAAAUGUAAGCAGUGACCUAUAGGUUUCGCCCGGACCAUACUGUAAGUUUCAGGCAGUAACUUUGGAGGGAUUGUGUCUAGGUCAGACUAACAGUGCAAGGUUUUGUUUUCAUUCCGGUCAGCAUUUCUCGGGGAAAAAAUGUUGUGUAGAAAGUCAGCUGUGGUAGCCAAGUAGUCGGAGGCAGCAGAUAGGCUGCAGCCUGCCUAUGUCCUCCCUAAACCACAUGUCUGUUCUCUGAAACGCAACUCGGACUCUCGGGCUUUCCGUGCACACGGUCCUGCUGAUCCGCUCUUGUCAUGAAGCAGACCCGGGGCUCCGUUUUUUCUCAACACAACGCAUUCAAACACACCCGCAAACACCAACCCUCCAUGCACGCACACAUACACACAUGUCGAUCGAUUUGCAUGUGACUUCGUCGGGGAAUGAACGAGAAUCGACUUAAAAACUACGCUUCAAAAGAAGCAAACAGCCAUGAAAAAUAAAAAAAGCAAAGAUGGACAAAGUGGGGUAAAAGGAAAAGUGUAGCUAGAGAGGGCGGAGGGAUUGCACGUUUCAGAGACGUGUCGAAGAGGAACAAAAAUGUGUUUAUCCAGAAGAGGAUUUUAUAAGCACACGACGGUGCCAAAACCCCCUGGAUAUGGCAAGUGUCAAAUCUGUCAAAAUUAGAAAGCGAGAGAUGUUCCCUUUUGCCGGACUCACACGGACCCACAGGCUGGACCUAGAGCUCCUUUUCUGGGCUGCGCUCAUAUGGAGCUGCCGCUCCCCUUCGCUCGCUCAAAACAGCCCCCUUUCUUAUCCCAACCAUGCCUUAAAACAUGUUUCUCGACAACCAUAAGCCCUCUAUACCUUCACCAGAUCCACCGAAAUGCACAUAUUUGUUUGAAAAUCGUGCUUUUCUACGAUCAACUGCUUGGAGAGGAUCGCUGUCUUGCCCAUUUCUUAUCUUCCAUUCAUGAGGAGGAGAGGACGAACGCUGAUGUAAACACAGGAGGGGUGGGUUGAGACCAGGAGGUCCGCACCAGUCCACCUACUGACUUUGCCUGCAUCAUGCCUCUACUCUAUCUAUGUUGAGCGUUUCAACUCGGAUUGAAUGCUAUCGCGUCGGCAGUCAGAGGCCUUACACAUCAGGCAUGGGAAGAUGCUUGUGAACGACACCUGUAUCCUUGCUACCUGCACUCUCAGCUCACGCAGCCUGCCUUCCUGCCAAGAUUGCUUUUGUGUUAUGAACUGCAACAUGUGUGCAACAGUUGGCUGACCUCAUUCCUGUGGCAGAAAUACAACCUUUCCCCUAACUGAAGCACAUACCCUACCUUUUGUUUAGCUCAUUUGGUAGUCUGGCUGUCUAUUUGGUGCUAGAGAGGGCCUCCUCUCUUAAAUGUGUUGAGAGGAAGCACAGGCAUUCACAUGCAUGUGACUGACAUCACAUUAGAAAAAAAUUAGAAACUGUGUAAUACCAUUUCUAAUUCUGUCAGCUCUGUCAUUACUGAAUAAUCUAUGAUGCGCAUCCCUACAACCCUGUAGUGUAUCAGCUGAAUCGAAUCCAGUUAAACAAGUUGUUUUUGUAGCUUAUGAGGGCAAAAGAUAUCAACAUGAAAAACUGUCUUUGAAUUUCAAAAGGUCAUACCCUCCCUGUGGUCAAAUGACAGACACUGAUGUGAUAUUCUCUUUCAUCGCUUAGAGAAUAAAAUGUGAGCAUUGGAUCACAGGCACACAUUAAUUCACAUCAUUGCAGCUUGUAAAUGAAUCUGGAAUCAUCUUGAACUUAAAUAACAAUUGUAAUUUGCAGUGAUUGUACACAUCCACUUUUCAGACAUAUUUGGCUGUAAGAGCACCUUGUUCAAUGUCCCACUGUGUCCAGCUUUUAGACAACAGAAGAUCUUUGAAACCGAGUUCACAGUCCCAUUCCCCCAUUCCAAUCCAAUAAUACACAACAGAGUUUUCACAGUGUAAUUACAUUUUGUAUUCUUAGUCUGAAUACAAGGGAACCAUUUUAUAACUAUGCAGCAUGUAUUUGAAAUGCAUUGCACUUCUAUAGGUGGUGAAUUGCUGUUUCAUCUAAGAAUGUAAACCAAACAUAAGGACAACAUUAUCAAAACACUGAAUACAUCUAUAAUGUGUAAUCCUCAUGUUUUGGUUAGUAUUUUCAUGGAUGUAAUGUAUUUUCUGGUUUGUAUUUAUAAAUGAAAAAUGAUUCUAUGGUGUAUAUUCAGCUAUUACAUUAUUUUUUUUUCUUAAUUGUAUUUAACAAGCUAUCUUGACUGCGAGGAGGUACUGUACAUGACAAGCAGAAAUGAGGGCCACAUUUUUAAUUGUAAACCAUCAUAUUUUGAGAUGAGUGAAAAGUAAACUUAAUCUUUUUCCUUCACCCAGAACAGUGAGGCAUUAGCAGUGGUGGCAGCUUCAGACUUAACAUUCUGAGUGUUUGAAUACACAUCCAUUUACAAAUAUAUACUGCUGUAUAUACCAGAAUCCACUGCAUUUCACUUUAAAUUACAACAUAAGUGGCUGAGACAAACACUGAUAAACUGAAAUUGUGAGAUAUAUUGGCUGUGCUUGUGUGUUUUGCACAUUCAAAUGAAAUAUAAGGCAAGUAACAAGAUUGAUAACCUGUGUUGUUUCUAUUUUUUUGAUCUAAUGUUUUUGAAUAUGUGUAAAUACAUUUCCUCAGGAAAAAGGAGGUAGAGAAAGAGGAUA